rnacentral:rRNA from 1 species
UACGUAGGGUGCGAGCGUUAAUCGGAAUUACUGGGCGUAAAGCGUGCGCAGGCGGUUUUGUAAGCCAGAUGUGAAAGCCCCGGGCUUAACCUGGGAAUGGCAUUUGGGACUGCAAGGCUUGAGUGUGGCAGAGGGAGGUGGAAUUCCACGUGUAGCGGUGGAAAUGCGUAGAUAAUGCGGAGGAACACCGAUGGCGAAGGCAAUC